rnacentral:rRNA from 1 species
CACGUAGUUGGCCGGACCUUCUUCUGCAGGUACCGUCACUUUCGCUUCGUCCCUGCUGAAAGCGGUUUACAACCCGAGGGCCUUCGUCCCGCACGCGGCGUCGCUGCGUCAGGCUUUCGCCCAUUGCGCAAGAUUCCCUA